rnacentral:sRNA from 1 species
GCAGACAGUACCCGUGCCGGGGCGGGGAGGCGAGUUCUCCCUGCGGCCGCGGACCCUGGAUGGUGGCGUUGCCCGAAGACGCGCCCUGACCGGCCUGAGUGGGGUUGCCUUUUGCCCUCGAGGCUGGCCUGAGCGCUGGAGGGCCGCUGGCUAACCCUGAGGUAGAUACUAGAGAAAUGGGUGGAAUAGGGAUAGGGACUCAGCCCUUCCGCUCUUUUCCCCAGUCGAGGCCCGCGUCACUGCCCUGUGGGUGCAGACGCCUCCAGUGUCACUCCCCUGGGUCUCGCUUGGGCAGAAGAAGAGAUUGUAGGCCGGACCCCAACGCCGAAGCCCAGAAGCUUCUAAUGUGAGGAAAAACACGGAAUGACAAGUGUGGGAAAGAGCAAGCACUAAAUUACUGUCAGAAAAAUAAACGGAGUAGCACAGUGGUGCUCAGUGAUUUACGGGGGCAAUUAGUCACCACCCCACGGCGCUGCUGAGGACAGCACGGCAGCAGACGAGUCAGGCCCACGAGGAAGAAGAGUCUUUGCACUGCUCUCCAGACAACUUUUCAAACAACAAGAGAGGAUAUUUGAGCACAUUAGGUUUUGUGUCUUCAUUCUGGGUGCCUACUCUUCAUAUUAUUCUACCAACUUAAUACAUAAACAUAUUUUUAGCACAAUAUGAACCUGUUCUAUGUGUGUUUAAAAGCCUCCAGCAGCAACUUUUUUCUCUCCCACUGUCCAAAGUUGGGUUUUCUCCAUCCCUUAAAAAACAAAACAAAAAAAACCUUUCUUCACUCCAAAUUGUCCCCCUGGUGUGUGGUUUUGGUCUGUCUCAUUACUUCUUGCAUCUUGCUACAUGUUCUGCAUUUGCUCAAAGCCACUGGGUGCUAAGGAAUUUGGUCUGCUGCUCCUCUGGGAAAGUUUGGUAAGCUGGUACAAGGAGGUGAUGAACAAAGUUAAAUGAAAAUCAUACAUAAACUUCCCAAUAUUUGUGAACAUGUUCUUUAACAUACCAUAUAUAGUUUCUAUGUAUAUGUAACAUAGCAAAACAAACUUGCUAAGGUAUAAUUAAUUGGUAUGCAUGCCUUCAUAAAUAUUCACCAUCAGAAGAAACCUAGAAUGAAAGGUUGUGAAAGAACCCAGGAAUGAGAAAGACUUUAUUGACUAAAGGCCAUGUCUAUGUAGGGGCAACAGUGAAGCUGUGGGUGAACAAAUGAAGCUUCAUCAGGAGUUUAGUAUCCUUAUGUAGCAUUACCUAAGAAUGUUACCAUAGUAAAUUUCUGAAGCACUUUAUCUGUUACAAAGAACAUUUGUAAUUUCCUUUUCUUAUUUGAUCUUGCCCUGGUUUUAGUCAGGAACACCUGCUCAGUUAGAAAUGUAUUCGGCAAGUAUAUACGCAGUUGGAGAAUGUGCCCCAACACACGCCACCUUUGGCCUGUAUGUUGGAGUCCUAAAGAGGCAGACCAUGUUGAUGAGCUUGGUGCCAGCAUGGUACGCCAUUCAUCUGGACACAUAAUUUCUGAUAAAGAGGGUCACAACUGGGAGAAACUUCAGAUUCUACUUGCUUCUCUUUUCCUCGUUAUUAGACUUUUUUCCCCCUUUUGAAUUUUAUAAGCACACUCCUUUUAAAACAAUUAAUUAAUAACGAGCGCUGGGAUUUGAUGUAGAACUGCGUAUUUGUAACUGCAAUGGCACUGGUUUUCAACUACCCUGUAACAAGGAAGCAAUUCUAACCAGCAAAAGAGGCAGACGUGUUUCUGUGCAACAUCACAGGCAUGUGAAAUUGUUCAGAUAUUGAGAUAUCAGGAGUGAUAUAAAUUGGAAAUUUAACCAAAGAUAUUUUCCAUCCGUGAAAAAAGCCUAUUUUAAAGUGCUUCUUGCAUUUUUCAGAUCUUUCUCUUUCUUUUUCCCAAAGUCACAUUGUAGUUUCUGAUAAAGGAACACACUGGGAAAACUAAGCACAUAUUUAAACAAUGAAAUUUAAGGUGUAAAAAUUCUGCAUUUCUGACAAAUUUGAUGUUCACUCUUUUCUGGAUUUAAAUAGAGCAUUCUAAAAAUAUUACCCCUAUAGGGGACAAAUUUUUAUAUGCAUGUUACUUUUGUUUACAAAAUGUGGGCUAGUAAAGAGUGAAAAAGACCUUGGCUAUUGUACUUAUUUCUUGGUAGAAAUAAUAGCAUCUUAAUGACUGGAUUCAAAUCUCUGCUUAUCACACAACUUCCAUACAGUUCAAGGAGAGGACUUGGAUUGAAUGAAAACAGGGCUGGGGCUUCCUACAUUCCCCUGUGUUUGUGUUCAUACAGAAUAUUUAUGCAAUAUUCUGACUUGGCCAUAAUCUAUAAUUCCUGGCUAUUAUUCUCAGUUGCAACUAUAAAUUCUAGAUUAAUGGUUAUAAUUUUGGUAAGGCAUACAUGAAAAGUUAUAUGUUCAUGCUUGAAAGGAGGAUCAUUAAAUAUUCAUUAUUACCACUCAAAUUAGUUGUCAUGCUCUGUAUAAUAGUUACCCGUUAUCAUUUCACUAGUUUGGAUUCAGCAGUAAGUGAACAGCAAUAUAUAGCUCAUAGCGCCAGAGGACUUCUUGUGUUGGGGAACAGGGAGAGAAAUGAUUUUAAAACCCAUUUGACAUAUUUAUGUUGACAAAUUAUUUAAAGGAAUUACUGUGUUGUAAUAAACAUGUUUGUAUGUUGGAAUAGGAUUAUGGCUAAAUUUGCUUCUAGCUGUUUAAUUACUCUUAUUAUGAUUGUGAAAAACAGUGCUUCUUCAAGUAGUUCCAAGGAAAGAAAUAGAAAAGGUAAAAGUUGAGCUAUUUCAGUCUUUUGCAGGUAUCUAACCUUGCCAUGAAAAAGCACUUUUCAUUUUUGUAAGUAGUUAUUGAAAUCUUGCUUUUUCAGCGAAGCUAGAUUGUAUAAUUUAUUAGUUUUCUCCAUCUGGUAACACAUCCUUAAGAAAAAAAUUGCCAAAACUAAAGCAUGAGAUGGAUUUUAAAAUAAAUGUUGUGGAUGAACAC